rnacentral:rRNA from 1 species
AUUGAACGCUGGCGGCAGGCUUAACACAUGCAAGUCGAGCGGGGGAAGGUAGCUUGCUACCGGACCUAGCGGCGGACGGGUGAGUAAUGCUUAGGAAUCUGCCUAUUAGUGGGGGACAACAUCUCGAAAGGGAUGCUAAUACCGCAUACGUCCUACGGGAGAAAGCAGGGGAUCUUCGGACCUUGCGCUAAUAGAUGAGCCUAAGUCGGAUUAGCUAGUUGGUGGGGUAAAGGCCUACCAAUGCGACGAUCUGUAGCGGGUCUGAGAGGAUGGGCCGCCACACUUGGACUGGGUAACUGCCCAGGCUCCUACUGGAGGUAGCAGUGGGGAAUAUUGGACAAUGGGGGGAACCCUGAUCCAGCCAUGCCGCGUGUGUGAAGAAGGCCUUAUGGUUGUAAAGCACUUUAAGCGAGGAGGAGGCUACUCUAGUUAAUACCUAGGGAUAGUGGACGUUACUCGCAGAAUAAGCACCGGCUAACUCUGUGCCAGCCGCCGCAGUAA